rnacentral:rRNA from 1 species
GACGUAGGGCGCGAGCGUUGUCCGGAUUUAUUGGGCGUAAAGAGCUCGUAGGCGGCUUGUCGCGUCGUCCGUGAAAACCCACAGCUCAACUGUGGGCUUGCGGUCGAUACGGGCAGGCUAGAGUUCGGUAGGGGAGACUGGAAUUCCUGGUGUAGCGGUGAAAUGCGCAGAUAUCAGGAGGAACACCGGUGGCGAAGGCGGCAUCCUGGACCGGCAUUGACGCUGAGGAGCGAAAGCCAGGGGAGCAAACGGG